rnacentral:rRNA from 1 species
CUGUAAGGCCAUACCACCCUGAAGUGUGGCCCAUCAUCUCCUCUGAUCUCAGAAGCUAAGCAGGGUCAGGUCUGGUUAGUACUUAGAUGGGAGAAUGUGCAUGAGACAUUGGCCUCUUCAUCAGU